GGGUCGGUAGUCUAGAUUGGUAUGAUUCUUGGUUCGGAUCCAAGAGGUCGCGAGUUCAAAUCUCGUCCGGCCCACCA
rnacentral:tRNA from 1 species